CCUACGGGAGGCAGCAGUGGGGAAUAUUGGACAAUGGGCGAAAGCCUGAUCCAGCCAUGCCGCGUGUGUGAAGAAGGCCUUCGGGUUGUAAAGCACUUUCAGUGGGGAAGAAAGCCUUGGGGCUAAUACCCUCGAGGAAGGACAUCACCCACAGAAGAAGCACCGGCUAACUCCGUGCCAGCAGCCGCGGUAAUACGGAGGGUGCGAGCGUUAAUCGGAAUUACUGGGCGUAAAGCGCGCGUAGGCGGUCUGAUAAGCCGGUUGGGAAAGCCCCGGGCUCAACCUGGGAACGGCAUCCGGAACUGUCAGGCUAGAGUGCAGGAGAGGAAGGUAGAAUUCCCGGUGUAGCGGUGAAAUGCGGAGAGAUCGGGAGGAAUACCAGUGGCGAAGGCGGCCUUCUGGACUGACACUGACGCUGAGGUGCGAAAGCGUGGGUAGCAAACAGGAUUAGAUACCCCAGUAGUC
rnacentral:rRNA from 1 species